CGUACACUCCUGCGGGAGGCAGCAGUGGGGAAUAUUGGACAAUGGGCGCAAGCCUGAUCCAGCCAUGCCGCGUGAGUGAUGAAGGCCCUAGGGUUGUAAAGCUCUUUCACCGGUGAAGAUAAUGACGGUAACCGGAGAAGAAGCCCCGGCUAACUUCGUGCCAGCAGCCGCGGUAAUACGAAGGGGGCUAGCGUUGUUCGGAUUUACUGGGCGUAAAGCGCACGUAGGCGGACUAUUAAGUCAGGGGUGAAAUCCCGGGGCUCAACCCCGGAACUGCCUUUGAUACUGGUAGUCUUGAGUUCGAGAGAGGUGAGUGGAAUUCCGAGUGUAGAGGUGAGAUUCGUAGAUAUUCGGAGGAACACCAGUGGCGAAGGCGGCUCACUGGCUCGAUACUGACGCUGAGGUGCGAAAGCGUGGGGAGCAAACAGGAGUAGAUACCCCAGUAGUCCCA
rnacentral:rRNA from 1 species